AAGGGAGGAGUAUGUGUUCUUAUAAUUGAAAAAAGCGUUCGAAUUAUUUUCAGAAAAUAAUUCGACAGAGAAAGCGUUCGAAUAUUCCUUUUGUUCUUAUAAUUGAAAACCAGAGUUGGUGCCCAAGCUGGACGAUUAUUUGUUCCAACACAGCUGUAAUUAUUUUAUUUGUCAUUGUUUUUUUAAUUUUUUUUUGUCAUUACAUUGCAACAACCUGAUUUGGGUAAAAAGUUUAUUUUAUUUUGACCUACUACCAAACUUAUUU
rnacentral:lncRNA from 1 species